GGGGUAUUUUAUAAAAUUUUUGCAGAAUUUAUAAGGAUAAAACCAUACUCCA
rnacentral:tRNA from 1 species